GUGAAAUUGAUCACAUACAAACAUAUACCCCUUUGUUUGACCGUGAAAAAUUUCUCCCAUCCCCUUUGUUCGUAAGAAAAGGCCCUCACAUUGUGAGGGCCUUUUC
rnacentral:sRNA from 1 species